GUGGAAGUAGCUCAAUGGUAGAGCACUCGCCUGUGGAGCGAGGUGUUGUGGGUUCGAGUCCCAUCUUCUACCCCA
rnacentral:tRNA from 15 species